rnacentral:lncRNA from 1 species
UGGGUUCCUCCCACAACUUAUGGGGAUUAUGGGAGCUACAAUUCAAGGCCUCUGAGCCCAAGUCUGCACGUAUUCAUCCAGAUGGCCUGAAGUAACUGAAGAUUCACAAAAGAAGUGAAAAUGGCCUGUUCCUGCCUUAACUGAUGACAUUCCACCAUUGUGAUUUGUUCCUGCCCCACCUUAACUGAGCGAUUAACCUUGUGAAAUUCCUUCUCCUGGCUCAGAACCUCCCCCACUGAGCACCUUGUGACCCCCACCCCAGCCUGCCAGAGAACAACACCCUUUGACUGUAAUUUUGCUUUACCUACCCAAAUCCUAUAAAACGGCCCCACCCCUAUUUCCCUUUGCUGACUCUCUUUUCCGACUCAGCCCGCCUGCACCCAGGUGAUUAAAAAGCUUUAUUGCUCACACAAAGUGAGUUUGGUGGUCUCUUCACAUGGACGCGUGUGAAAAUUGUGUAUAAAUUACCUGAGGGUUGG